CCAGCAGUAUUAAAGUGCUUAUAGUGCAGGUAGUUUGUGAAAAUCCUGAUCUACUGCAAUGUGAGCACUUCAAGUACUUCUAG
rnacentral:pre_miRNA from 1 species